rnacentral:rRNA from 1 species
CCUUUGACGUUAGCGGCGGACGGGUGAGUAACACGUGGGUAACCUACCUAUAAGACUGGGAUAACUUCGGGAAACCGGAGCUAUACCGGAUAAUAUUUCGAACCGCAUGGUUCGAUAGUGAAAGAUGGUUUUGCUAUCACUUAUAGAUGGACCCGCGCCGUAUUAGCUAGUUGGUAAGGUAACGGCUUACCAAGGCGACGAUACGUAGCCGACCUGAGAGGGNGAUCGGCCACACUGGAACUGAGACACGGUCCAGACUCCUACGGGAGGCAGCAGCC